GGGAACGGCCAUACCACCCUGAACGCGCCCGAUCUCGUCUGAUCUCGGAAGCUAAGCAGGGUCGGGCCUGGUUAGUACUUGGAUGGGAAUCCCACUCUCUUGUCCUUGAGUUUGCUGAUCUUU
ensembl:rRNA 5S_rRNA 5S ribosomal RNA